rnacentral:tRNA from 1 species
AGUUCUGAGGUGUUUACACAUUUGAUUGCAAAUCAUAAGUAGUAGGCUAACGCCUACCGGGGCUU